rnacentral:rRNA from 1 species
GAUGAACGCUGGCGGCGUGCCUAAUACAUGCAAGUCGAGCGAACAGAUGAGGAGCUUGCUCCUCUGACGUUAGCGGCGGACGGGUGAGUAACACGUGGAUAACCUACCUAUAAGACUGGGAUAAAUUCGGGAAACCGGAGCUAAUACCGGAUAAUUUAUUGAACCGCAUGGUUCAAUAGUGAAAGACGGUUUUGCCGUCACUUAUAGAUGGAUCCGCGCCGCAUUAGCUAGUUGGUAAGGUAACGGCUUACCAAGGCAACGAUGCGUAGCCGACCUGAGAGGGUGAUCGGCCACACUGGAACUGAGACACGGUCCAGACUCCUACGGGAGGCAGCAGUAGGGAAUCUUCCGCAAUGGGCGAAAGCCUGACGGAGCAACGCCGCGUGAGUGAUGAAGGUCUUCGGAUCGUAAAACUCUGUUAUUAGGGAAGAACAAAUGUGUAAGUAACUAUGCACGUCUUGACGGUACCUAAUCAGAAAGCCACGGCUAACUACGUG